rnacentral:rRNA from 1 species
GAUGAACGCUGGCGGCGUGCCUAAUACAUGCAAGUCGAGCGAACGGACGAGAAGCUUGCUUCUCUGAUGUUAGCGGCGGACGGGUGAGUAACACGUGGAUAACCCACCUAUAAGACUGGGAUAACUUCGGGAAACCGGAGCUAAUACCGGAUAAUAUUUUGAACCGCAUGGUUCAAAAGUGAAAGACGGUCUUGCUGUCACUUAUAGAUGGAUCCGCGCUGCAUUAGCUAGUUGGUAAGGUAACGGCUUACCAAGGCAACGAUGCAUAGCCGACCUGAGAGGGUGAUCGGCCACACUGGAACUGAGACACGGUCCAGACUCCUACGGGAGGCAGCAGUAGGGAAUCUUCCGCAAUGGGCGAAAGCCUGACGGAGCAACGCCGCGUGAGUGAUGAAGGUCUUCGGAUCGUAAAACUCUGUUAUUAGGGAAGAACAUAUGUGUAAGUAACUGUGCACAUCUUGACGGUACCUAAUCAGAAAGCCACGGCUAACUACGUGCCAGCAGCCGCGGUAAUACGUAGGUGGCAAGCGUUAUCCGGAAUUAUUGGGCGUAAAGCGCGCGCAGGUGGUUUAAUAAGUCCGAUGUGAAAGCCCACGGCUCAACCGUGGAGGGUCAUUGGAAACUGUUAAACUUGAGUGCAGGAGAGAAAAGUGGAAUUCCUAGUGUAGCGGUGAAAUGCGUAGAGAUUAGGAGGAACACCAGUGGCGAAGGCGGCUUUUUGGCCUGUAACUGACACUGAGGCGCGAAAGCGUGGGGAUCAAACAGGAUUAGAUACCCUGGUAGUCCACGCCGUAAACGAUGAGUGCUAAGUGUUAGGGGGUUUCCGCCCCUUAGUGCUGCAGCUAACGCAUUAAGCACUCCGCCUGGGGAGUACGACCGCAAGGUUGAAACUCAAAGGAAUUGACGGGGACCCGCACAAGCGGUGGAGCAUGUGGUUUAAUUCGAAGCAACGCGAAGAACCUUACCAAAUCUUGACAUCCUUUGACAACUCUAGAGAUAGAGCCUUCCCCUUCGGGGGACAAAGUGACAGGUGGUGCAUGGUUGUCGUCAGCUCGUGUCGUGAGAUGUUGGGUUAAGUCCCGCAACGAGCGCAACCCUUAAGCUUAGUUGCCAUCAUUAAGUUGGGCACUCUAAGUUGACUGCCGGUGACAAACCGGAGGAAGGUGGGGAUGACGUCAAAUCAUCAUGCCCCUUAUGAUUUGGGCUACACACGUGCUACAAUGGACAAUACAAAGGGCAGCGAAACCGCGAGGUCAAGCAAAUCCCAUAAAGUUGUUCUCAGUUCGGAUUGUAGUCUGCAACUCGACUACAUGAAGCUGGAAUCGCUAGUAAUCGUAGAUCAGCAUGCUACGGUGAAUACGUUCCCGGGUCU